GCCAGGGGCCCUGAAUAGGGCCUCCGGAUCGCGCUCUCAGCCAACCAGCCGAGCCGAUCCGCGUUGUGAAAGCCCAAAAGGCAGUGCGACAAGGUUGCGACUGGAACGUAGUUGUCCUGAGGGACGGGGAAGCGUCAGCAACAUCAGCAAGAUCGAAGGCAGUGCCCGGCAGAUCGCCCAACGGUUACCACGAACCGGCAAGCGAGUCAGGAGCGCAAAACCACCCAUCGAUC
rnacentral:ncRNA from 1 species